CUUAAAACAACAAUAUUUAUUAUCUCACAGUUUGUGUCGUGUCAGGAAUCUGGCCAUGACUUAGCUGGAUGCUCUGCUUUAAGGUCUCUCACAGACUGCAAUCAAGAUGUCAGCUGGGCUGCAGAAAUCUCAGGGCUCAUCUGGAGGAGUAUCUACUUCCAUGGUCAUUCCUGUGGUUAUUGGCAGGGCUUAGUUUUCUUGUAGAUUGUUGGCCAGAGUCCAGCUGCAGUUCCUUGCAAUGUGAGCCUCUCCACGGGGCAGCUAACAACAUGGCAUCUGGUGUCCAUCAGAGGGCAAGCACAUCAGAAAUCAGAACAUUUUUGUAACUUAAUCUUGGAAGUGCCCUAUGCUCUAUUUGCUAGCAGUUAAUGUCCAGCCCACUUGCAAGAGGAGGAGAUUACAAGCCAUCUUAGGAGGUGUUUAAUACAGGUAGGAAAACAUGGGAAGAAUAAGCCCCAUUGAAAAUCUCUCAAUCUAGAGAUAACAUUGGAGAUGGAGCCUGAGGUUGUAAAUAAGGGGAACAUGAGAGGCUGAGAAGGGGGAUCUUCCCUUUUAAGCAUUGGAAAGAGUAUGGGGAAGAGAGGAGAGUCUAGAAGGUGGCAAGAUGAAAUACUGUCAGGAUUUCUUAGGAAAUAAUGUGAGACAUCUGCUGGGCAAAGAGUUAUAAGAUUGGAAUUCCAUUUUGCUGCUAAUGACUUACUAAGCAAAGUUCUUCUGCAUCUUGAAAAUCUCGAGGUUGAACAGUCACAACUGGAUGCAGGCUCUCUCCAUAAAGCUGAUAGGAUGGCUUCUGACAGUCCCAGUCUCCCAUCCUCCUAUUCAGUAAUCACAAGAUGUUUCUGCCUGUAACAUACAUUCAUACCAUAAAAGCCACCCUCUUAAAUUAUAGAAGUCAGUGGUUUUUAGUAUACUCACAGAGCUGCUCAACCAUCACCACUAAUUCCAGAAUAUUUUAGUCACCCCAAAAAGAAACUCCAUACUCAUUAGUAAUUACUGCUCAUUUUCUCCUCCCCCUAUUCACUGUCUGUUACUAAUCUAUAUUCUGCCUCUAUGGAUUUGCCUAUUCUGAACAUUUCAUACAAUAUGUGGCCCUUUUGUGACUGGCUUCUUUCAUUUAGCUUUAGCUUCUUUCAUAAUGUUUUAAAGGUUCUUGCAUGUUGUAACUGAUAUUAGUACUUCAUUCCUUAUCAUGGUUGAAUAGUAUUCCAUUUAUGGAUAUACCACAUUGUGUUCAUCCAUUCAUCAGUUCAUGGACAUUUGGGCUAUUCCCAUUUGGGGGCUAUUACAACUAAUGCUGUUAUGAAUAUUUGUGUAGAAGUUUUUGUGUGGACAUAUUUUCAGUUCUCUUGGUUAUAUACCUAUGAGUGGAAUUGUUGGAUCAUAGGGUAACUCAAUGUUUUCUUAAAGAAAAACACACACAAACAACUUCUCUACGGUUUUCCAAAGCACCUACACCAUUUAACAUUCCCAUUAGCGAUGCUUAAGCAUUCUAAUUUCUUUGCUAAUGCUAUUUAUUUUCUUUCUUUUUAACUUUAGCUAUCCUUGUGGUAUCUCAUUGUGAUUUUGGUUUGCAUUUCCCUAAUGAUUAAUGAUGUUGAGCAUCUUUUCACCUCCUUAUUAAGCAAUUGUAUAUCUUCUUUGGAGAAAUGUCUAUUCAACUCCUUUGUUCAUUUUUAAAUUGGGUUGCUGUUUUUUAAUUGUAAGAGUUCUUUGUAUGCUCUGAAUACAAGUUUCUUAUCAGAUAUAUUAUUUGUAAAUAUAGUCUUAUAUUCCUUGGGUUGUAAUCUUGCUUUCUUGAUAGUGUUCU
rnacentral:lncRNA from 10 species